UCGGGGUCUGCUGAUAAACCAGCGGUAUCCCAGCCAUAGUCACCAGGGAACUCACCAGUCAAGUAUGAUGGUGUUUGCUCAGAGAAUGGUCCCAAGUACUUUGGGCGGUCUGGGCCGUACCUGUUUGUCGAUUACAGGUUUCUUUGAUCAGAUACUUGAGACUGCUUACGCUAGAAUUACAAUUUUUCUUGCGCCUAGAGCUUUUUGUUUUAAAUUGAAGUUAUGUCUGAUCUCUUUAUUUAUUUUUACAUAAGCUGAAAACUAAUGGCAUAUCGGUAACCAAAAUCAAACAUGCAUGCCACGCUUGAUAAAGAAGCAAUAACACAAGCAAGCUUAGCAACUAAGAAUGUGUAAAAUGUAGUUACCAGAUGCUCUGGGGAGUGGAUUUGACAGUCCUCCUCAUGGUGAUACGGCCACCGUCAGCAACUCCAACCUUGCGGACAAACUCAUUGGAUUGCCUCAAGGCGGUCUGGCCAGCAAAUGCUGAUUGUUGGAUAGCAGAGGUUGCCAUAUGUUCUUAUGCGAAAGCUUUUCCUUUUGUUGCUGAAGCUUCUUUUCGCACUCUGAAUAUGUUUAGGAGCUUAGUGUGAGAUGGGUUAUAUCGGAAAUGGGGAGAUGUUGUGGAUUAGGAAAUCUACACGUCAGCAGCAUCUAAUUGGUUGUGGUAAUGGAUGUGGAUUUCCAUGUAGAUUUUUUCUGAUUAUAAAGAGGUUGGAUUUAUGCCACGUGGGAUUUGAAAGAUCUUGUGGGCGCCAUGUCUUCAACAGAGAAUAGUGGCCACAAGAUAAUCGUAUGUAAAAUUGGCUGGUAGCUCAAUGCCAGAAAAUUGAUCCAUUGAAAAAUCUGGUGUGUCCUUUAACUUAUCACAUAAUUUUUCAACAUAUCUAGGUUUUUUAAAUAUUAGCUCAUAAAUUCAAAGGAUGAGAUAAUUAUUGAGUACUUUCAAAGCCAUUCAAUAGUACAUCUCUUUGCAUAUCUUACGUUUCCCAUAUGUUACUGAAGUCCAAAUGGGAAUUGCUUAAUAUGGAAAGAGCCAGUAGCAUCAUUGGAAUAAACAAAAAAUUUAUUACUGUUUAUUUAUUUACAACGUCGAGAAAGCCCAACUAGCUAGGAAAGGCAGGCUUCUCCGAUACAUGAUCAAUGAAGUGGGACUAUUAACAUAGCAGCAUCAAACAAGACGAUGAUUCUGGUUUACUUUCAAGGCUAUGUGGCCUCUUCUACUCUGUUCUGCUAUAACCUAGCGAAAAGUGAAGGAAUUAUCUGGGUUGUAAUAGUGAGAUAUAGAGAUGUAAAGGAACAUUGAAAAGGGGAUACUCAGAAACGAAACAUAUGGCCGAUGCUGCUGCCUCCUUGAGAACUCUAGCCUUAAAAUACCAGACAAGGACCGGUCUAAGAAUGAAUCUGCAAUGAAGUUUACAGCACGAUGAAUACCCCAUGGCAGUACAGCUAAAAUGAAACAGAUGCCCCACUGCAUCCCAUUCAACCUCUGGUAACCAGCUAGGCUUGUUGCAAACUCAACCACCAGUACUUGCGCAGCUAUAACAAUCAGGAAAACCAUGAGAACGUUAAAUUUUUUUAGGACAACUGGUAGCACCGCCUUCUUUAGUAGGCGCAUGGCAUCGAACUGAUUGAAAACCUGGCAGAGUGUGAAGCUAUUGAAGGUCAUUGCUUUUCGAAUGUCUCUGUUCAUGCCAGGGAUGACCUGCCCUGCAAACUGAAAGAUCAGGAAGACACCAACCUGGCAUAGAACUUGAACUGCUGUGUGUUUCCACAUCACUUUGUCAAGAAGUGACUUGGUCCUCCUAGCCGGUGGAUUGGUGACGGGUUCCUGGUCUUUGAACUCCAUUCUCAUAAUGAGGCCACCCAGCAUAUACAUAAUGCUGUAUACCCAAAUCAACUGAAUUGAUGUUAUAGGGGAUUCCUCCAAAAUCAAUGUUGUGACCAAGGUUAUAAGCAAGCCAGAGGCACAUCCAGUCAGCUGAAGUUUAGUGAACUUCUGAAUGUUGCAGUAAGCACACCUGCCUAGCUUCAAAAUUGGAAGCAAUGAACCAACAGCUGAUAUUACAAUGUCAGAGCACUCUCUGGCCAUUUCAGUGCACUUAUUCUCCUCAGUGAUCCCUACAUCGGCUUCUUUUAAAGCUGGAGUAUCUCUGGUUGAUGACCCUCCAAAGAAGGCAACAACAUGACCUUUUUCUUUCACGCUCUGAACAAGAAGAAGCUUGUCAUCAGCUAGGCAACUGCCCAUUAAAGUCAUUGAAUCCAAUUUGGCCAUCCUUUCAGUGGAAUUCAGUUCUCGGAAUUGUUCACCUUCAAGUGCUAUAUCAUUAGACUCCGGCCUAAAAUUUCCAAGUUCGCAUGCUACUUCUGUGACUGCUAAAAGUUCAUCCUCUGACACCAAUAUUAUUCGUACACCAGCAUUUCUGAGAGCUUCAACUGUUGAUUUGAUCUCUUCUCUCAGACCCGCCAAUGCCAGCAAGUGUAACCCAUUUUCUUUAAUUUCCGAAACCUCUGUUUGACCACAAGCAAAUGCUAUGGGUCUGAGACCACUGUCCUCCAUAUCUUUGAUCAAUUUCUGAAAUCUUCUUUUCUCACCUUUGAUUUCAAAACUUUUCCCCUCGCUAUCAUAGUAGUAUGAACACAUGUUCAGUAUUGUUGAUGCAGUUCCACUCCAGUGCAUAUGCAUAAUUUUAUCUUCAUCACCACCAUUAAUCUUCACCAGAACCCCACAAACUUUGUUAUUAGAGCUCAAUUUUCUAUGCUCUAGGACGGAAAGAUUCUGAUCCACAAACUCCACAUUCAAACUCCUUGAUUUUGCCCAAGAAACCAGCCAAUCGGUCGUUGGCCAGAGAGAAAUCUCAGGCACAAGUACCGAUGCUCCAAUUCCUCGCUCAAGAGCUUGAAGAACUGCUUGGUUGAUUUCAGAGGCCACAUCAUUGUUCACAUCCUUUUCACCAAUACAAAAUUUGCUAACAUCUACACGGUUACACACGAGACCACCAGUCACAUCAAUGCAGAUAACUGAAGCAAUACCCAUCGUGGCACCGGCUGAUAAAUUCUGAGGUUUUGCAUGAUGAUUUAUCAACAGUUUGUCAUUCCAGAAAAAGAGGGAAACUGUAAUCACAAACGGCAUGCCAUGCUGUACUGCUAUCGCUACCACAGUAAGGGCGCUUACCAAAAUGCUAAUUUUUCCUUGAGGUUUUAACAAAAACCUCUCAAAGAUCUUCAUCACCGUCCCCACCGAAACAUUUCCCUUCAGUUCAGGCAAUUCAUGAUCAUCGCCACUGUGUUUCCUCCACAAUAAGCGUAUAAGUGCCACAAGAGCAAUUAGCACAGUGACAGCAAGAGAAAGAUUCUCCAUAUAAGCGUUGGGUUUUUCCGUCUGAGCUUCUAGCAGCGUCUUCUCGUUAGGAUCCUGGCUCACUGAUCUCAGCACCUGGCCAGAUGCUAUGUUCCCCCCAACUGAUAUCAGGAGCAUAGUACCAUGCCCCUCCAUCACCUUUGAACCAGAGAACAGGAAGGGGUUUCGAUCAGGAUCAAUUUCGGAGUUUAGCACAUCAUCCAACAUUAAACCAUCGCUGUUCACAACCAAGCCAUCACCAGGAACUCGAUCCCCCUUCGCCAACCGCACUACAUCGCCCUUUAGCAGAUUGGAUACGGCAAUGAGUUGUUCUCUCCCGCUUCUUACAACUUUCACUUCCAAUUUGUUUUUCUCCUCCCAUUGCUUCUUCUCCAGCUUUCUUGCUCGGCGAAAAUUGGUUACUGCCGGAAAAGUAAGAAGCACAAAAACUGCAAUCAGUAUAGCAGCCCCAUCAUGCCACCCGUCUUUAGGCCCCUGCUCUAUGGUUCCGGUGACAAAUGACAGGGCAGCCGCAACUAACAGGAGGAGAAUGUUGAAAUUGUUGCUAGCCUUGAGUAAGAACAAGAAAAACUCUCUUGCAUGAUUUGGUUUGAUUGUGUUCCAAAUCUGCGGCUGUGGCAAUUGGUCACCCUGGAUUCCAUGCUCCAAGUGGGAACCAAAGGCUGACGCAACUUUUUCAGGACCACCAAUUUCCUUAAGCAAAUUCAGGUUCCUCGCUUUCACAAUCCGGUCAAGAAGGUCAGGAAGUAUCCGGUCUUCACUCUUUUCUUCCUCCACAAUCUCGGACGGAAUGUCAAUGGCAUGUCGAGAUUGAGUGGACAGGUUUCUACAGAGUCCCUGUUCAACAGAUGAUGUUGGCACAGGAGCAUAACUUGUAGUCGAACUUGAAGCUCCUUGAUCCUUGAAAGAUCUUCUGGAAAAACUGUUGCAGGCUUUUGAGACAACGUUGAUGAAGCCAUUUUCGGGAACGGCACUGUCAGUGUUUGAGGGUUCCUGCUGCAGAGAAUCUGAGUCGUUUUCUUGAUUUACAAGUAGGGGUGAUGAAGACGUUGGUGAUGGCAGUAAAUCUUGUCCGGGGAAACAAGUUGUUUUCUUCAGAGAAACAAUAAUGCCCACAGUUAUGCUCCGGCGCCAGAGACGGGCAUACUUGUGAGACGGGGAGGUAGAACUGGUGGUGGUUGCGGUAGUGGUGGCGGAGGCAGUGACGAGCAAGCCAGCGCCGAGAGCAUUGCCAUUGCUGUCACAACUUUGAUUGUUGGUGUUUGUGCGAAACAUGUUUUUUAAUCCAAGCAGCUGCGGAGGGAGUAAAAGAGACAAAACGAGAACCAGAAACAGAAACUACCAAGAGUCCAAUUCAAGUUUCAGCCAAUGAUGGUUGAGUCGAGUGAUUUGACAGCUUCACGAAUUUUUCUUUUCACUUAUGGAGAAAGGCUGGAAAAGUCUGAUGAUUGGCAAGAAAAAAAAAAGGUUUCCUUUUUUAGUGAAGCGAGCAGCGACGAGGAGAAGCACCUGCAUUAUGCUAAUUAUUGAAAGAAGCUAGGUUCUUUCUAGAACUGAAAGCAGAAGAUACAUUGAAAGGCAGUUGAAGUUACCAAGUAACAACUGAUGUGUUAAAAGCACUUGCCCGCAAAUGCUUUUUCAAUCAAAAUAUAAGGCACGGAAUUGUUGGGCGUUAAUAGAUGUUAUCUAUAUAGCCGGCCUCCCUUCCGCGUACGUCGCACAUGCCGCGUUUUUUGAUAAGAGCAGAACGUAAGAAUUUAAUCUUAAUGCAAUGACGUCUGAUUUUUUUGGAUUAAGAUUGAUUAGAAAAAAAAAAAAAAAAAUUCAUAUUGUAAUGAGGCUUAACAUUAGGCUUACGUUAAAUUUUAUAGGGUAUUUUAGUUUUAGGCACCAAAAGUCUAGCAAGUUGCAAGAGAGAAGAGAUGACCCGCCUCGGCUCUUAAAACGCUUUUGCGUCAACAGCUACACUUUUUCCACAACGUGGGCGCGUAUACGCUUAGCAAGUAAUAAUAGCCAGGUAAUUCUUGAGGGGGAAAAAUGGUACAAAAAGGGACUUUGAAAACCAAAAAAAAAAGUCGUAUUCAUGCGUACAAAACUACAAAUGAACCCCUUUAGCCUCGUACGGUGCGGUGAAAUCAAUACACAAUACUCAUGCCACUAACAACUUUUCCUUUCCCAUGUCCUAUUUAGAUUAAUUAAUGGAAAGUGUUCUAGAAAAGAAAAAUGCUCAAGGUCAAAAGACACACCUAGCUACCAAAUGCGGCCUUUCGCAAGCUUGAAAAUACAAAUUCAAGGUUAAACCGACGCGGUUUAGUCAUAGCUAGUGAAUACUGGUUUGGUUUUUAUUUUGGCUUAAGAAUUUACUUAGUGCUUAUAUUUUAAAGAAUAACUCAAAACAUUCCUAUAAUUAAAUAUAUCAUAUUCUUACCCUUAUUUUUUUUCUUUUAUAAUAAUACAUUUCCAAUAAUAUUAUUGAUAUUAAUUAAUUUAUCUAUAAAAAAAUUAAUUAACAAAUUAACUAAUAAUUAUUUAUUAACAAAUUAACCAAUAAACAUCAAUGUGAAAGAACUAAUGUUUUUUUAAACAUGUGCAAUAAUCUUACUAGUAAUUAUUUUAUAAAAAAUUCAUUUACAAAAUUAAUUCUAAAAAUAAAUUAAUAAUAUAAAAAAAUUAUACAAUUUUUUAUGUUACUUUUAAAGUUAAUUUGAUAAAUUAUCAUUUUUUUCUUUUUAUCAACAACCCAAAAAUAUUUUUGCAACAACAUUACUAUAAAAGAAAAUAAAAAUAAAGGAUAAAGGUGUAGUACAUUAACAACAAGAAUGUCAUAAGCUAUUUUUUUUCAAAUCUAAAAAUUAAACGAACACUUAACUCAAAAUAUAAGAACUAAACAAGCAUUCACCCGUUAUAGUUUAGCACUAUUGCAUCUAGGGCCUAAACAACGCUCUGCAUCUCGGUCUCAAUUUAGAUAGUAUAUCAAUCCGGACACAAUUUUGAUUUCUUGAUUUCUUUUUGUACAUCAUAUCCAUAUUUUUGAUACGUAGGAAUGCGCACACUGGAUAAAGACUCCAUAGGUAAACUACACAAUUAAAAAUGAAGCGCACCUGCUGUGACGAGACAGUCUUUAAAUCUGUCAUGGUCAAAUUUGAAGUCCUGCUGUAAAGUUAUCAUCAUCUGUGAGAGGAUCAGUUGGGUUAAUUCACCAUUAUAGAAAAUAUUUACAAGUCUCUAAGACGGCAAAACAUGCUGAGCUACUAAAUCUCAGCACAAUUUUACAAGUUUUAACAAGAGUAAUAUAGGAAAACUGGUGAGUGUGUACCAUUCAAAAUCAAUGUUAUUCCAUUGGGGAAGGACUGUCAUCAACUUUGACAUCAUCCUGUACACUGCCUAGCAUGACAGCGGUCAGCAUUAGCUUGCCAGCAAAUGGAAAAUCCUUAUGCUGCUUCAAUAUCGCUUCUACAGAAGAACUUGAAUCAUUCAAAAUCUGAUCCUCUGAGUCUCCUUCUCGCAGUGGCAACACUUCUUCAAAUCCUUCGUCAAUAGUUUCUGCAUUGGGUCCAUAACACCUAUUUGAUGCUUGGAACAGCAAUGUGUCUCUCAGUUGUUGCAAUGUUUCCUCAUCACUCCAUCCUUCGUCUAUUGAUGCUUGGUAAAGUUGGCCCCAGUCAUCCUGAUUUGCAGCAUUCUUCCAGCAAUCCUCCAGAAGGUGUCUAUGGCUCUUUCGAAAUGAUGAGCUUGUCCAUGCAAACACAUCAAAAGCCAGCAGCGAAAGCUCAGGGUUUUCACUUUUAAGGCAGAGCUCGACUAAUUCCUCUGGGCGAAGGAGUGGUCCUCCAACAUAUUGCUUCACUUCAUCAGCAGCCACAACUUUCAUGAUUUCUUCCUGCAAGAGAUAAAGAAGUUGGGACUUACGGCGAACAAACAUGCUGAUAAAAUAAAUAGGGAAGCAAAAACUUUUAACAGAUGCGUGUCAGGAAAAACUAGCAGAGGAUUGAAAUGGAUUUCAGUGUUUCUCCAUGAACAGUAGUUGUAGAAAAGAACUACGGACAAAACAGUGAUUUUGAAAAUAAACCAUGAAAAGUGAAUUGUAUUCAACAACAUGCCAAUAUUCAUUAAAUGUCCUUAGAUCAAAAGUUUGCAUCAGACCUGCAAUUUUAAAAUUUUCAAAUCAGCUUCGAUGCGGUUUACUUUUGCUCCAGAAUCAGCAUCCUUACCCGCUGGCAUUUACAAAAGGAUUAGUAAGAUAAACACAAAAUUGGUAACAAAUUGCCGAUGUAGACACAAAAGAAAAGAAAGUUAUCUUACAAGCAAAAACAGCAUAUGAAAAUGGAUGGAAUAAUAAUAUUAAUUGCUGAAAUCUUUCAACCAUCUCCCUGGCCUAGAAGUAGAUUGUCAAUUUGUAAUAAAGAGGAUUGUUUUAUCCUGCAGGUCCAAUUCUCAAUAGAUGCAAUAGCAGUUAUUUGUAGAGUUGGUGGUCAAAAAUCAGAUUGUUUAUGAUAUUUACAGCCCAAUAGUACAUAUAGAGCUACCAUACCUGGUGCUACAGGCAGUUUAAAAAAAGUAAGCAUAGAGGUUAAGUCUUUGUGUGGUCACUAGAGUAGUGCCACUGAUUUCAGCCUAUUAUUCAGUUAAAACUUACACCCGUUCAUGUUUGAGACAGAGAUGGACCUUGGUUUCUUGAACAGUUACAUACUGAUGCAAUCGAGCCUUUCCUCCCGCACUCACAUCAAACUUGCUUAACGAUAUGUACAAAAUGGCCUCACAUUUAAGAAAUUUAAAACUUGAUCAAUUUAACCAAAAUAGAACAAGAUGAGGCCAACAUAUACAUACAGAGAAUUAAAGAGUAGUCUUACCAGCGAUGACAGCUAUCUUUGCAAGGUUCAACAGGCGCUUUCUGUCCGCCAAUGUUGGUUCAUGAAUCACAUGGUCAGCGGCUUCCCCAUCUUCAGCUGAUGAAAUAGAGCUCUCAUUUUCAGAGAGAGCUAAAACAUGAAGAGUUUCUGAUGCUGAGGAAAACUGAUGAAGAAACAUUUCAUGAAGCCAAAGAAGAUGACGGUGAUACUUCAGAAAAACAGAUAGCUCUUCUUGGAACUCCUCACCAAGCCUUAAAAUCUUGGAAAAUUGCCUCUUCUCAUAUAGUUCUUUAAAUACAAACUGACAGAAGCCUCCCUUAGGCCCCAUGCUCUCAUGCUGUGUAAUAAAUCAUUUACGUUAUAACCACAUAAGCCUCGAUUAAGAUAAGGAAACACCAAAGUUAAAACUUGCAUCAAUGAUAUCUACAAAGUAAAGAAAAGGAAAUAUAAACUGACACAGUUGUGUAAGGUUUGCUGAUAUGACAACCAAAACAAUAAGAAAAGACAAUAUUUACAAAGUACGUAGUUCUGCACAUGUAUCAAUGCAUGAAAACCUAUAAGAAUGAGAAAAUAUCCAUCCGCCAUAUGAUACCAUCCAAACUCCAACACAUGAUACCAAGUUCACUUACAUAUUAUUAAUUAUUUUUAAGAAGUAGAGGGCAACUUCUUAACAGAUAAUCAUGCCAUAAAUCAUGGACAAAUGAUAGAUGAGAAAAUUUCUCUUUCUCACACAAGAACGAUCACUGCAGAUGCUCUAGAAAAUGGACUAAAAGAAAUAGAAAGCAUGCAAGAGUGAACAAACACAUCAUACCAUAAGAUUUCUCAGCAUUUCUGAAUCAUUAAGGUCACAACAUAUUUUCCACAUAGUUUUGUAGCCUUCAUGCCGUUUUGCAAUAGACAGCAAACUUGAAGAAAGCUUUCUGAGCAUUUCUACAUCUUUAUCUUCAACAAUUUCAUCCAAAUCCUGGAAAAACAAUCAGUUUAAGAAUGCAUAAAUAUCCACCAGCAGGUUUAAAACAAGGAAAAAAAUGACCUGAAAAUGUGUUGACCUGGUAACGAAAUCCCAAAGAGCCUCUGACUUGUUGAUAAAGGGAGUCAAGAAGUGAAUCCCGUCUAUUCCAAUACUCAUUCAACAGACCUUUGUGCUCUUCUCCACGCUCAACUGUUGCUGUGAUAGCCCCACUAUAUGCUUCCAGUAAAACUUCACAGAGUGCUUCUAGAUGAGCACACACAUCUGAUUUUGCAGACAUAUCAAGUCCAGGACUUUCGUUUAGCAGCUGGAGAAUGAAAGCAGCAAUGCUCCACAGCCCAUUACGUACAACAUAUUGAGAAGACCAAGGUGUUAAACCUUCAGGUGGUGGAUACCACAUGCGAUGCUCAUUUCUAUAGUGCAUGGCCGUGCGAACUAUAGUAACACAUACAUUUGAGAGUUCACAUGUUCUCUGGAUCUGAACCCCAUGUGGCUGUUCUACACUAAUUACAUACUGCAGUUGUUUGUCUAAGCAAUAAAAUACCUCUUCAAGAUCAGAAACCUUACUGUAGAAGACUUCAGCAUUGUCUCUGUCCAUCAGAAGCACAGUAUUACGGCGAGCUCUUUCACCAACUACUUGAAUAAGAUCCCACAGGGCACCUGAAAUUUGAAUCUCUGUACGGUUCUGGCUAAUCAUACUUUGCAGUUCCCUGAGUUGAAUCAUUCCAGCAAGCUUUUCACCAUGCUCCAAGAUGAUUUGCAAAGAAUGUCCUGUUAGCACGAAAAACAAAUUUACUCAUCUUGAAACACCUUAAGUUUUUUUUCCCCUAAAAAAAAGUGUAAUCAUGCAAUGUCAUGAAUUGUUACAUGUUCUGCAAGAAAUUUAAGGGGACGCAGAUGGAAGAUCUCUUCCAUUUUCACAAAAUAACAGUAACAAGAUUUCAUGCUCUGACACACUUCAUGUAAGGUGGGAAAAAAAAUUCCAAAUCUGAAUAAGCACUGCAAGUCAAAUGGCAGUAGAUCGUACUCUGUCUAGCACAUAACUCCUCAUGACACUUGGACAAAGCUAGAAACUGCAGAAACUUUUCAUGCUUCUGCUGCUUAUCCUUGAGCUGACUGGAUACCAUUGACAAAAUCUCAGCACCUCUAGUUGUUGUCCAGUGUUUAGCCAAGGUGGCCACAAUGGCUUUGCUAGUCCGGACAAAAACACUUGUUUCUCCAUCUCUUUCAAAUGCCCCAGAGUUUUGAAGCUUUUCAAAUGAACCAUCAACCUGCCCAGAUAACAGAAAAUCAUGAAAAAGAUGACCAAGUAAGGCCUCUGAUUCUUCAUCUUGGGCUGAUCGACGUGCAACCCCAGUUGAAACAGCCUUUUGUCUAUCUCUAGCAUCCCAAGCAUCAGAGCUAACUCUUCUAGGACCUGCCAACAUAAAGUUUCUUCUCUCUUCAGGUACUGAUCCUUCAUUGGAGCUUCCUUUCCGUGACAAGCUUCGCUCAGGUGGUUCAACUCCACCAAUUACAACAGCCUUUUCUGGUAUUGCCCAUAUUCCCGCUUUCUCGGUUAGCACAACCCAUGCACCAUCUUCACCAUCAUCUGAUGAAGGAAGAACUGAAGCAUCAAGAACUUUUCCGGCAUCAUAAGGCAGGUCAAACUGAUAUAGUCGAGUAGAGUUCCUAUAAUAAUGCGAGACUGUUGCUGUUCCGUCACCAGAAAGUAUGAUUGCUGAUCCUGGAGGCUUUCCCCCGACCCUAAGCCUCAUUGAGAAUAAGAAGUCCUCCUCUUCUACUCUUGCCUUUGGAAUUAUCACUUGGAUAGGAGCUUUUUUCUCUAAGACUCUUUCAUGAAUAUCAGAGUAGAUGUUUACCCCAGAUUUAUAUUGCAUGGCCAGCAGAGAAUACUGUGUGUAACUUGAACUGCUGACACGAUCCUUACAGAAAGUGGCAACAAGAAUCGUAAUCACUUUACCGUGAUUGUCUACUUGCACAUCCAGAGGCCAGAUUCUCUUCUGACCAGCCAAAUCCUUUUUUAUACCCAAAUCACCAUCGGUGCCAACGAUUUCAUGAGACCAGAGCUUUGACACAUUCAAGUCAGGGAAAAGUUUAAUAUUGAAGCACUGUAUCUCAUGAUCAGUCAGCAACAAGAACUGCCAGUUGGGUUCCUUAGAAGAAGACAGAGAGUAACCCCAGGUUAGUGACCUUGGAUAACCCUUGCUCCCUGCAAGUUGCCCACCAUCACUGCUCUGAGAUGAUGCACCAGCCAACUCAUGAUAUACUUUGCUACGGUGGAUACCAGCAGGGCUGCAGUAAAACAGCCAAAGCUCACCACUUGAACUACUUGUUAGGGCAACACAAGACUGUUGAGUACCAGGAACCGCAGAAGCAAUCAUGGAGUUAAAAGUACCUGAUACAAUCAAACUACUCCUGACCCUGUUCCCAUGCCACUGACCAUUAGGGGUAGUCUUCCCAUCAACAGGCGAAGAAGUAACCUCUGAUUCAUCAGAUGAUACAAGACUGAUAACCGGAUUAUUUACACUUUCACGAAUAUUAGGCCAGAAUACAAGAGCUCCGGUUUUUUGGUUACACAAUACAAUUCCAGCAGAGUUCCAAUGUCGUGCAACUUUAUUUGUUGGCACUGAGGUGCUAUCCCAAUUAACAACACUAAGCAACCAAUGACUACCAUGAUAAGAAUUUCUACCAGUAUGUCCCUGAUCCAAAACAUUCGAAGGGAUCUCCAGAGCAACGCAAUUGUUUAACGCUGCAGACGACAAGUAAUUCCAAAUAAAGAGUCUGCUUCCACAGAUAAUCCAGGAAAGACACAUUUCCCUAUCUAUUCCACCAGAUAUACAAGCAUCACCUGCCAAAAAAGAAAUUAAAAGAGUUUGUAAUAAUCUUCUCCAAAUAAAUAGUAGCAAAGAGAGACUUGUCACUGGAGCCAAUUGAACUGACCAGGAAUGUGCUUGCGAAGAAUGCUGGUCUGUUCAUCACGAACGACUUGGGGAAACUCUCCAAUAAAUACAGGCUUAAUAGGAUCUACCACAUCGCCUUUCUCACUUUUGCCUGCAGGUGGAAUUCUAGGGACCAAAAAAGAAAAUGAAAAAAAAAAAAAAACAUCACAAAGUAUUAAAAACUAGCCCCAAAACAUAUGUUACACCAGAGAUAUGUUAGGAACUGAGGUUUUGUCACUUUUAAUCCACAACUCCUGUAGAACGAAAUCACUAACUAUCAAAUAUAAGUAGGUGCUUGCCAACUAAAAACAUAUAAAUGUUUACCAAACACUUUCAACUGAUAGAAGCUAAGUAGAAAUACAACAGUUACAAACAUAACAUUUAACUGUCCUAAGCUUAGGCUUAAAGUUGUGACAGUAUUUAGCAAAAUGUUUAUUGGUUGGCUAUCCCCGCUUAUACUUGACGGUUAGUGAUUUCAUUCCACAACAACUUCAUUAAAAGUUGCAUCACCUCAGACAAUCGUAUAAACAAUAAAUGGUACGAACAUUAACUAACAUUACUCGGAAAUUUAGCAUAAAAAAUAACGAAACGGAAAAUUAAAAUUGAAACAAAAAUGGGAGCAAUUUACAUUUCUAGUGGUGAAAUGCAAUGACGAUACCUGGCGAGAACAGAUAAGCGUGGAGCCCAAGGAGCAGGAGUGCCGGUGCUGGGCCGGUUGGCGAUCGAAGUGAUGUCGUGUUGAGAUUUACGAUUCUCGGCGAGUGGAGUUACCGGUGAAUGUGAAUCCACUUGAUUUCGCUCUUUUCGCCGGCUCAAAUUUGCUCUCUUUGUUCCUGGAGAGAACAUUUUAUUAUUUUAUUAUUGUUAUUAUUAUUAUUUUUUGGCUUCUUGAGGUUUAGGGUUUAUGUGUUGUUUUGCCAGUGAGUAGUAAGCACGACAGCACGAGCCAGCCACUGACUCUGAAUGCGAAUAGCGAAGUGGGAGGAAAUUUGAAUUGCAUUUGAUUGUGAGAGAGAGAGAGAGAGAGAGUAGAGAUCCACUGAGAUCGAGCUCAGGCGAUGAGUGGUGGAUUGCACUUUUAAGCCCAAGCCUUAGCCGCUCGAUUAAAUGUGGAUCUUAUGUAAUUAGCUUUAAACGCCUCUUUUUUUUUUCUUUUUCUUUUUUCUCUCUUCCUUUUUAAAGCUUUCUUGUACGUUGUAGGACUUAAAAAAUAAUCGAAUUUUGCUCAUCACAGUUAAUGAAUGAAUAAUGAUCAUUUACUUUCUGGGAAUCAAAUAUAUAUUUUUAAUUUUAUAAAUACAAAUAUACAAUUGUUAUUUUAGGGGGUGAAAAAAAAGGGCUUUGGAAAUUUAUUUCAAGCCUACUAAAAACGAUAGAAACAGCGUACACUUUUUUGCGGUCAAAUUUCUGGAGAUAAGAAAAAGCAUCAAAUUGAUUUCCUGAAACAUGUUGUGGCCAGCGGCAUCAUAAACAUUCCCUUUACAGCAACAUGAAAUAUAUGACGCUACUUCAAAGAUAGAGUAGAAGUACUUGUUAUUAUUUUGAAUCCGGAAAAUACUACAUAUCAUGAGCCCUAAACAAAUGACAAAAUUAAUCUCAGUCAAGCAGCUGAUAAAAAUAUUUCAUGAGAGGAAAGUACAAGCUAUAACCGUUCUGCAUGUGAAUUUCUUCACGAGUGAUCCAAACUAUUAGCAUUUCUUUAUAUGACAUUGAUUGUAUUUUGCUCACAGAUAUGAGACAAUUGAUACAACCACCAAAUCAACGAGACCAGAACAUAUAAAAGGGCUUUUGUAUUCGUGCUUUAAGUAAGAGAGUUCUCCAAAGAAGAACUAUAGACAACACCUUGCCAGAUUUAAGACAAACAUUGAGUUUUUGUUUCCUACUCUGUUUCCUAAACAAAAACAAAACUAGAUAUACAUACACAUAAGGCAGAUUUUGUAUCAUGGUUCCAGCUUCAAGGAAACAACUCGCGACUGUCUGUUUCGCUUUGCCACCUUCACAAAUACUACAGAGAGGCAAGACGGAGCCCACCAAGGCCGGCGAACUUUUUGCUCCCCUUUUAGACAAGCCACUAAAAAUGUAUUUGGGUGUCAACAAUGAUAAUGUAAAAUGCCCAAAAUACAAUAACAAAUGAGAGAAAAGCUAUCUAGUUAACAAGUACACAAGAUGAUAGUCUUCUGCGCAAACAAACAUGAUCAAAACAUUAAAAUUUAUAGAAGAAAGUAUGGCACUACUCUCUCCAAUAUCGCAUAAAUCCAACUUCAUUUCAUUCAAGAAAGGCAAUCUUUUUCUCAACUAUUCUCUAUCAUUUGUUCAAACAGCUUGAAUUGAUAUGAACAUAUUUUAUAAAUUACUUGUUACCAAUGUAAUGACCAUAAGACUCAUCACUAGCCAAAAAUAGCCCCUAUUUCAAAUAAUCUAAUAUGCAAGUUGAUUAAACAUUCUCUCAAACAUAAUGUUAACUUCAUAUGCAUAAUUGGCCAGAACUUUUUCCACAGGAAGAAAGACAGAGAGAGAGAGAGAGAGGGCAACCU
rnacentral:lncRNA from 1 species